GACAAGAGAUCCUUUCUUAUUUCAUUUCCAUGCAGGGAGGCGGAGGGGCGGGGGGGGGACCCCCGCUCCCUUCCCCAUCACAGGCACCUACCUUCAUCUCCUCGUUGAUCUCCCGCUUCACCGGCUUAAAUCACUGACAGUUUUCAGUAUGAAAAGUUGAGCACAACUCCUUUGCUCAUUUCGUGACUAAAAUGAGCCUUGCCUGCUUCAGAUGGCAGAGUGAUUAGAGACACAGAGCACAUUUUCCCCUGUGGCACUGAAAAUAGGAAGAAACUGGGAUUUUUGCACAGUCUUGGCUGUUAGAGAAGCAAGCAUCAAAAGGUGAGAUAGCAACCAGACCUCUGUCUGUGGAAUCCUGGAGCACAUCUGCAGCGGUAAGGUCACGGCCGCUGUGAAGCAAACGUGCUGCCGCUCCCCUCGCUGCCUGAAAAGAAUCGGGCGGUUGUUGGAAAAAAACAGAUCUGUUUGUUCGUUUUCACAGAGCAGCGGGACCUCGCGGAGACCCUCGAGAAGGCUCUGCUGGCAGCGAGGAGCUGCAGGAGUCACCCGCAGAAGGGGUCAUGCCAGGGGCUCGGUCCAUUCUGUGCACCCCGGGGGUUCAAGGUCUGGCCUCACUCACCAGCAGCAAGCAUGAGAAGAAACCUAGAUUUAUUUUUUUUUCUUGCCUGUAAUAUUUUAAAAUACAGUGAGUUCUGAAACUUGGGGAAACUAACUUGUGACUCCACAGGUAACCUUCAAAGGAUGGUGGUUAAUAGGGAGUUUUCCCUCCUGUGUCACACCAAAAGCAACUUCAUCUCUAUGUUUUGUAUUCUAUUACGAACAAAUUGGUACAGUUGAGGUCUCAUCAGGUACAGGAGAUAUUCCCAGAAUCUCAAUGUGUUCUCUCACACAGUAGGGGUAAGACAGGCAGCACCAAGGGGAAGUUGCUUAUAAAGAGAAUCUCAUGUAGCCUCAGAACUCUUUGAAAUCUUCAGCUGGAGAAAGCAAGCCAACCUCAGAUAACUGUUCUGCUUUGAAUUGGCAGCACCUUGCUGAUACACGAAGCCCUUCUAAUGAAAAAGGUAAAAUUAAUUAUUGUAUUAGGGACAUAUCACUAGUUUCUCUGCAGAGCAGAUAGCAGAGUUUUAACGAAAACCUUAGAACUUCUGCUAAACAGAGUAUUGCCUCAAUUGGUUCUUGUUCAGUGAAACAUCUGAAGACUACUACUCAACACUUUCUAUAAAUAUUGUAAUAAAGUACUGUUUCAUGGCAUAAAUGUAACACACUGAGUCGAUAAUCUGACACAAAGAUUAACUCCAAGCUCCCAACAUAAACAGAGCUUCCUUUAAUGUUGGGAGGGACUUUGGAGACUGUGUUUGCAAACCCAAAUGAUGUGAAUUGUCUUCAGCAGGUUACAGUGAGUAGACCAAAACAAAUGUCUUCAGGAUCAAAUCUGUCAUUCCAGUUUUCCUGAGUAGCGGCUAAAGGUUUGGUUGUAAACUGAAGCACUUCAUACCCCUCUUGCAACCAGUUCUGAACACUGAUCUUCACUUCUUGAUCACCAAAAAUAGCAGCUUUCAGUUAGGCUUUUUUUCCAGUAUUUUUCCAAAUACUUUUGAAUGGGGAUGUGAACUUAUGCCUCCUGACAGCAGGCUCAACUUUUCCCAGCUACUUCUGGCAAGCUCCUUAAAAACAGCCUCCAGUCCCCCGGUACCUCACCAACCACCAGAUAAAAAACAUGCUCUUAGAGCAUUUCCUUUUUUUCUCGGUAUCUAAUACAGGCUUUGGAUAAAAACAAAAGUUCUACCUCUCUGUGUCCUAAUAAUAGUAUCUCUUCAUCUGGCAGCAGCUUAUUUCUGCGACUGUCAUGAUCCCUGUUUUUCUAGAGCUGUUAUUACCUUUACAUAUUGCAUAUUAUUAUCCUACAUAUUCUUGGGAAGUUGUUCUUCUUAGUGAUAGCAUAUGGAGGACCAUCAACUGUCAACGCAGAAGUUCGUGCAUUUAGAGUGCUCAGAUGUUAUCUGACACACAUUGUAGAUACUGAAAUAAGUUUUGGAAACCAUCUAAUUAUUCCACUUGUUACUGGGGAGGGGAUGACUAGCAAAAAGGAACACUUUCAGGUUUUAAUCGUAGCUCAUGAACUUGUAAGGGGAGGCAGAAUGUCAAAAGCUAUGGAAGCCAUAAAUUUGUCAGUCAUACAAUGGCAUUGAUCUGAACCUCUCCAAAAAGUUAUGAGAAAAUAAAUCUGGUAUUUACAUUACAGAGACCCUAACAUUCAAUACAUUUACUGAACCAUGGCAGCACAUAUUUAUUGUGUGAAAACCUGUAUUUUUGGUAAAGAAACCUGGUUCAGUAGUGCUCAAUAUGGAUUCUGCAAACAUCUUAAAUAGGUGAAUAAAGGUGGCUGAUAAGAUCAAUAAGGCUGCUAGCAUUUAUUCUACCAGACAGAGAUACCAGGCUAUGUGGUAUCAGUAAGCAGUUUUUAGCUGAAGAUUAAAUUCUCAUCCUUGGAAAUCAGCAAAGAUUUUGCUGCUGAUAUUAAUGAGACCAAAUUCCUUGGAGAACUGGACCAAUUUCCAAGGUGAUUUUAAAUCAAUCUAUUACAUAGUGUGUGUUGGAAAGCAAGAAUCCCAUGUUCUUAAAAAGAAAAAAGAAAAGAAAAAAAAAAAAAAAGAAGUGAAGAAGUGCAGGGUUUUCAAAAUGUUUCCGGUCUCAUUCAAAGCAAAAAUAAGAUUUUUAUAAUGUGAGGGGAAAAAAGCUUCUUACUCCUUACUGUAACUCAUCUUGAAAGGGAGCAGGAACUGCGUAUCAGGCUUCCCACAAUGAGUGCGUGCUCUAACCACAGCACAGUAGAGUAAGUUUCUCACUCACUUGCCUGUUCAAGGGUUUGGGGUUGCUGGGGUUUUUUUCUGCUUUUUGUUUGUUUUGUUUUGUUUUUCAGUUACCUCAUUGGUUAUUUUCAAACUUGGGAAGAAAAAAACAACAUGAUCUGCCUUUCAGUGGUCACUAUGCCACCUGCAAGACUAAAGUUCAGGUCUCUGCUGUAUCUGAGUCAUGGCAAGAACUUGAACUUUUCCUUCCAUUGCCCAACUGUGUGUUUUACACCCAAGGUGCUUUGCCAAGCUCCAUAUUUUUGUUCUAUCAGGUCUUUGCAUUUCUGUCUCUGAAUUUGUACUUGGAUUUUUGCAAGCACAGUAAUUUGGCCCUCUGUAAAGCAAAUAUUGUUCAUAAAACAACAGGUGCAAAUGCGUUGACUAAAAUAAAUUGCCCCAGGUUUAAUUUCUAUUAUAUUAUUCAUAUUCCUGUUUAUUAGUAUUUACAUAUUUUAAAAGGGCACCUAUCCACUUACGGGAGUUCUUUUUAGGUAGCACAAAAGCCACACUUUGCUGUAAGUUCGUUCUUCAAUUUGGUCCUUAUUAAUGUGUAACUCUCUUUAAUAUUAUUAUUGAGCCCUUUCUUCUCAUUAUUUCCUACCAGAGAGGACAAGAUAAACAAGCAGGCCUGAUUUUUCCAGCUGGUAAAUAUGUAAGCGGCACGACAGCUCCAAAGCAAAAGGUUUUAAAAGGCAACGGCAUCAAACAAAUGGCAGUCUGGGGGCACACUGGAAACCACGUGAUGGUUUUCAGAGCCAAAAUUAGGACAACCAGGGUAAUUACUGUAGCAGUUGUGCUGCCCUGUAGGAGGCAGGAGUCCUAAGUGGAAGGCGCUGAGGAUCCACAGCCCUUGGGGAGCAUCCCUGCUCUGGGGAGCAUCCCUGCCUUGGGGAGCAUCCCUGUCUGGGGGAGCAUCCCUGCCUUGGGGAGCAUCCCUGUCUGGGGGAGCAUCCCUGCCUUGGGGAGCAUCCCGGCCACGGGGGAGCAUCCUUGCCUUGGGGAGCAUCCCUGUCCGGAGGAGCGGAGCAUCCCUGCCCCGGGUGAGCAUCCCCGCCCGGCGCAGCCCGGGCUGCCGCCGCGGCGGCUGCGGCGAGAGCUCCCCCUCCUGUUUGUCGCCUUCUCAACACGGUGGGAAACGCGUCAUGGAACCUCGGGUACCAAAAUGUGAGGACAAGUCAGUGUGCCUUCAUGCACGUAUAAACAACACAUGUACACUCACACAUACAGGGAGAAAGCUGAAGGUAAAAAGGGAGGAUCUUGUGGGUUGUUUUUUUGUUGUGUUUGUUUGUUUGUUUGUUUCCAAAUAACAGCUGCAGAUGUUGCAGGCCAAAAUAGAGAUGCAGCUCUUAACUGUUUUCUCUUAAUAUUGCUGACAAUUUACCUUAUUGUUCCCUGCUUGUCAAGGUGGUAUCAGAUCUCCAUCAGGUUGCUUAAUAAUGCCAAUCACCAUGGAAAGCAUAUGUCUAUGCAGUUUUUCACAAGAUAACCUAUUCUUGCUUCAUCUGUAUCCGAGGCGAACCCAUAAUGAACAGCAAUUUAAAUUCAGAUAUUUGUUUUGCUGAAGUGUUUAAUUAAACAAAUAAAUUCUUUAUAUGUCUUCAUAGAAAAGUACCAUUACAUUUUAUUUGACUUGAAAUUGAAACAUUCCUUUGACUUUUUGUAUGACGCAGUAAGGUGAUAGAUUAUUUAUGCCAUCAGAAGCAAAUAAAUGUGCAGAACAAUUAAAAUAUCAGCUCCAAAUAUAGAUAUAUAUAAAUAUAUAUUUAUUUUUUUUAAGCACAGCCAUCCAUUUCUAUGCAUAUGGAAAACACACGUGAACCUCUCCCUCACUUCUGUUCCACCCAAUCCCCACUGCCACUUCAGUGAUGAUAUUUCACCCAUACCUUUGAGAAGAGGUACAUUCCACUCAUCCCUGAGCUUGGAUGAACACCUGUAGCAUUACUCACACACAGUAGUGUCUGUAGAUUCCUUUCUGCUUUGGAUACUAAUCUCAAUCCAGAGUUUCCUUAGACAAUUAGAGGCUGUUCUGCAAAAUGUCAAGAGGUAGCCUCUCCAAAGCAGACACAGUAUGGCAGUUGAAAUGGGAGUAGUGGCAGCUUUCCAAAUACAAAGGUCUGGAAAUGUUUGAAGGUAUUUUAAUAUUGAUGGAUGUUUCAUUUUUCGUACUGCUUUAGGGUAUCAGUGUCAAAUCUGUACAGAUUAAUGGCAAGAUAGAGCCUUAAUACUGUUAAUGCAUUUAAAAGUUCUGGCAAACAGAGAGAAACUUUAUUUAACUUAUUAAAUAAUUAAUUAAUGAUUGCUAUUCUUACCUGAAAUUUCACCUAGUAUGAUAAGCAGAAAGAAAUGUUCACUCGUUUCUCUGGUUCUUUGUUAAAUACUUACAAGUCUUCUGGUAAAAUGCCUUUAUGUUUCUUGUUUCAUUUCUCAUGUUCACUACACCAAAAGUAAGCAAGGAGGAGUCUUUUCCUUCUUCAGCAUCAUAGAACGCCCAUGCCAUUAAAAAUCAAUCAAUAUUAAACCUUUAAAAAGGUAUCAGCAAUGCAUUAAAACCAAAUUCGUAAAAUAUGUCCCGGACACCAGUAUUGACUUUGGGGAAAAAUCUUUAUCAUCUGUCUGCUGCUACACCCUAUCUAUCCACUAUGGUUAUUCAGUGACCCUGCUGCUACAUUUUCAUAUUGAACAUAAUGCUAAACAUCAGGCAGAGGAAAAUGGACAACCUGUGGAUGAGCAAGGAAGUUAGAUACCAGGCUCAAACUUGACUGUGACAAACUGCAUUUGCAACCUCUAGACUUCAUUAUGGUUGAGGACUGUUCCUCAGAAUGGAACUUUUGAAUCUUUUAAAUUUUCAUUUGGUUAAAACAAGUGGUCUACUUGCUCUGUCACACAGGUUGGUAAGAGCAUAUACAAAGCCCUGCUUUCUCGAGGGCUUCUUAUUUCCUUGCGGCUGACAUCCAAAAUGCUGACCUCCAAAGGCUGCUUUGGAGAAGGUCUAAGGUACCUGAGAGACCCUCCUGCUCUCAGCCCCUGCUACCUUGAAAGCAGGGAACCAUCAAAGUCACAAGUAAAACCAGUGAGGGGUGGAGACUUGUGCUCUCUGCAGCUGUUCCACAGCUGUAAAGUUCCCUCCGAGGUGAACUGAAAGUAUUUACAGCCAAGGCACACUCAUUUCUUCACCUCUCAUUUCCUGACAAUGACCAUUUCCACUCCUUCCCAUUCUUUUACUUCUCCACACAGAAAAAGGCAGGACAAAGUAUUUUCACCUUAAUAAAUGGGUAACUCUCCCAGAGGCUACAAUGACAGGGAGAGAGGUGGAGAGGUUGUGUGGGAUUGGGAUACCACAGAAAGUUCUCCCUUCUUUUUAACUCUUUUUUUUUUCUUUUUUUUUUUUUUUAAAUAGAUCAAUUGGGCUGAUACAUUCCUGAAAAUAUUAUUACAGUAAUCUACAGCAAGUUAUUCCUAAAAGGCAUCCCUCCUCUCUUUGUCUUGCUGUGAAGAAUAAAAGAUUUUUUUACAAUAAAGAUAGUAGUUUAUACAUUUUCUCAUAAUCUUUUAUUUCUCCUGUGAGUUUUGUUGCAUGAUAUAGUAUGUCAGUUUAAGUAACAUCUGUCAAGGGAUGGAAAACAAUUACAGGUUCUUUUCAUUCAUAAAAGUCAUUCUGCAGUUUCUUAAUCCUUAAUUUUCUUGUCAUGCUUUCAAAAACACUACAUGAUUUUGUCCAAAUUAGCCCCUGCAUUGCAUAUACAAGAUACAGUGGGUUAUUCAUUUCUUUCCCGGACCCAAAGAAACAUGUCAAGGUAUCUACAGUGACAUAUACUAAAUGAUUUAGACUUGGGUAAAGUUGGGCUUUGUCAUGUCAUUAUUUGACUAUUACUCCUCUACCGCAAUGCUUGCUUUCCUGCCCGCAUCUUACCAGAAUUCUACAUGACAUGCGAUUCAACCUCUUGAUCUUCUCAGUUACAUUUACAUGAAUUUUACACAUCCUAAUAUAUAAUGGCAAUGCAUUCACAUCACUGUGGCAAAAAGUCUGUCAAAAAAACCUCCAAACGUAUCUUGGGCAUGCAUAACAGAAACACAGUCAGGACUAGGAUGUGGCACGUAUUUUCAGCAUAGGACAAUGUUCUUCACUCAGCAAACCAGAGAAUAGCUGAGAUUGGAAGGGGCCUCUGUAAGUCACACAGUCCAACCUCCUUGCUCAAAGCAGAGCAGGCUGGCUCUGUGUCCAGUCAUGUUUUGAAUAUCUCCAAAGAUGAAGACUCCUCAGUGUCUCAGGGUUACCUGUUCCAGUGUUUGACCACCUUCAGUCAAAAAAAUAUUUUUCUUAUGUUUAAAUGGAAUUUCCUGUAUUUCAAUUUGUGCCAAUGUGCCCCUUGUCCUUUCACUGAGAAUACCCUGGCUACAUCUUCUCUACUUCCCCCCUGGGUGUUUAUACACAUUGAUCAGAUCCCCUCUGAGCUUUCUCUUCUUCUGGCUGAACAACCCCAAAUCUCUCAGCCUCUCCCGGUACAUCAGUUGCUCCAGUCCCUCCAUCAUCUCCGUGGCCCUUUGCUGCCAUUGCUCCAGUGUCUCCCUUAUACUGGGGAUCCCAUACCUGGGCCCAGCACUCCAGACAUGUCUCACCAGGGUUGAGCAGAGACGAAGGAUCACCUCCCUCAACCUGCCAGCAAUGCUCUUCCUAAUGCAACCAGACCUUCUUUGCAGCGAGGGUGCACUGCUGGCUCAUGUUUGAAUGCCAGGGUCCCCAGGGCCUUCCCUGCAAAGCUGCUUUCUAGCCAGUCCCCCACCUGUAUUACUACAAAUAGUAUUCCCCUCCAGGUGCAGGACUUUGCAUUUUUUUUCUGAACUUCAUGAGAUUCUUGUCAGCCCAUUUCCCCUGCAAUUUAUUCAAUUUGCUUUGAUUUAUGAUAUUUUCGGUAAUUAGUAUAACUAUUAUCUGGAAAGAUUUUGUUUUCCUGAACUGUGUUGCUCUUUUCUAAUUAAAUCAUGCAUGUAACAUUAAUGAUAAUAAUCUACAUCUCUUACUGCCAUAAUCAAAAAUAGACUCUGCUCAAAGACAGUCCAAGAAUCAUUCUCUACACAGGCGAGAUUUUUUCCCCUUAGGACAGGGCCAAUGUAUAUAUCCAUCUCCAUCCAAGAUUCUUGAAAUCAUAUGUGGUUAUUUUCACAAAACUGUUAAUUAAAGCAGAAUUGACAUAUCCUCCUAGUCCCUUUCAGAUCACCGGAGGGUGCUGAUGGGAGACGGUCACAUACAACUUCCGUCCCACCCACCUGGUGUGGCAAAGUCUUCCCACAAGACUUCAGCGUUGGGUAACUCCUGGGAGCUAAGGGUCAGGAACUCCAUGCAUAUCUCAAUUAGCAUGGAUUGAAAUCCUGCUCCUACCACAGAUGUAUAUGGCAACCCCCCCACCAUGCUGCGGUUUGUUUUCAGUAUCAGUAGAGGUCCCCAGAUGCACCACCAUUCCUGCAAGCUUAGGCAGCAAGUCGGUUGGCUUGCAGAGAGAGCCAAGGCUCUGUAUUGCUUCCUCUUACCCCUGGGACAACAUCAGAAAUUGCCUCUUGCAUAUUGUGAGUGACGAUUAGCAUCUCUUAAGCCCUGGUCUGAGAAGAUGUAGACUGAGGUUUAUUGGCUUUACCUGAACUGCCAACACCAAAACCAAGUCCAAACCUAGCCACCCAUAUGGUUAUCUGGGCCGCCUUCUCUGUUGUUAACUAAUAUUACAGCUACCAGUUAGUAUUACAGCUAUUUUGCAGAUGAGAAAUCAUUGGGAGAGAGAUAAAGUGACAAAACACAUGUACUUGAGGAGUCUCACAGCCUCAGCUAGAACCCUGCUCUUAUGUCUUGUAGGACAGUCCUGUCACCAUUAGAACGUGUAAUGUAACCUUCUUGGAAAAUAAUGAAAUGUGAGCCUCCCUUUGAACCAGCUCGACUUUGAGCUCACUCAUGAAACACCAACGACCUUUGAAAGAACAGGGGGACAGCACCAUUGACAGAUUUUGCCUCAGUUGGCUGCAAAUAAAGUUAUUUGAAAUAACUGCCAAAGCUAUAAUCUAUCAGCCUUUUUCACAGAUUCCACAAAGGCAAGGAAAUUCUAAGUCAAAAGGCUUUCUCCAAGCAGUGCAUGCCAAGCAUUUGUGCAUGAAUUGCAGGAGGGGAAAUGAUAUGUUUCUUUUAGAGCUGUUGUUGCCAUCAUGGAAAGCGAACAAGCAUCUGUGCUUUGGAAAUCAGUGGAAGGAAGGUGUUCUGUGAAAGGGAGCAUGUGGGAAAGCGGCUUAAAAUGGUGAGAGUGUAUGAAAGUAGCAGGAGUUCUGAAUGCCAUUGGGGAGAAGAACUGGAACAAGGCUGACACAUAGAAAGGUGGCGAGAAAGCAAAAAGAAAUGCAAAGAGGAGUACACUGAAGAAAAAAGAAAAAAAAAAGAAAAAUAUAUAUAUAUAUAUUUGGCUAGAGAAUAGGUCUGAGCAAAUUCCAAGAGUGAGAAACAGAGAAAGAAGGAAAAACUAUAGCACAGAUGGAAAGUGCAUCUAUUGGACGAUUGUGCAAGUGAAUGUGUAAGUUCAAGUUUUGGUGUGUUUUAUUGUGGAAACAGAUAUAAAGCUGAAAAUCAAAUGUCCAAGCAGGACUCCUGAUAUAGAAAUGAUCUACACAUUUAUACUACACAAAGUCUGUAAGACGAUUGUACUCUGUAGCAUUUUCCAUUGAUCCUGAAAAAAACUGGGAAGAUUCACAUUCAGUAAUAUUUAAUUCAAGAGGACUGCUUACCUUAAAUCACCGUGAUUAACUUAAAUCACUGCCAGUCCUAAGGUUCUUAAUUUCACUCCAGGACUGAUGAUUUCCUGCGUCACUACACUGUGAAGCUGAAUCCAGAAUAACAAUUUAAUACUUGAGUGCCCAGAGCCAGGCAGAUGCUUUGCAUAAAAGUGUUCUCUUGUGUGUGUGGAGUGCCUGCAGCUUCCCCGGGAGGUGGUGGGUGCUAAGCACCUCCGAAAACCAGGUCACUGUCACUCGGGAACUCAGAAUGGAACCAAGGUGCCGAAGUCGAAGACUAAACUUACAAGGAAGUGACAUCAUUGUGGAAGAGCGUGUCUCUGAAGGACUGCCAUACUUCUGGUAAUUUGAAUUUUGAUAUGUAAUAGGCACGGAUUUGUAAAUCAGAUGCCUGUGUAGCUUGUAACACCCUCCAGAGAUAACAUGAGGAUAAAAGAAAGGGAAUGAGAGAGAAAAAAAAAAAAAGAUGGGGAAAUUAAUAAAACGGAAAGGGAUGGAAGUGUUGUUCAAGGCUUCUUUGAGACUAGCUUGGGCAUGCCUCGUUGGCUCUGAAUGCAAACUAUUAGUUAGAAGGCUUAAAAUAAACAUAAUGAGGUGGGGUUUUUUUCCAUGUAAUACACAAUAAAACUGUGGAACACACAUCCACAGGAUGUUCAGGGGAGCAAAGGUCUAAACAGCUUCAAAGAAGAGCUUAGAAGAGGCAGACUUGGAAGUUCUGAAAAAUAGAUCCAAUCUGCGUUACUAAACAUGAUAGACUUGAUAGAGCUUCUGGCUCAAGAAGUCUCUAAAGUGUAGUUAUGUGGAAGUGGGGUGGACAUGCUACAGGACAUACGUCGCCAUACUUGCUUGAUUACUCAUUCUCUUCCCUUAAGCAUUUCAAUAUGGGCUCUUAUCAGAGCCAGGGCAUACUGCCUUAGAUGCUCCUUUCAUCUGACUCAAUACUUCCACAUUCUAUUUUGCAUUAAUAGCUUAUGGUUUCCCUUGAAUAGCUUACCUAACUGUGUUGGCCUAGAUCAAUUGUUCUUCCUCUUGUACAGCAGCAGUAACUAUGAUUGCUAUAAUGUUCAAAUCAUGUUUUAAUAAUUUUAGUGCAUGUACUGAAGUGGCAGGCAGGCAUUUUAAUUACAGGGAUAAAAGAAGAAUGGAUGCAAAUGAGUCAAGUGCUAGGUAAAAAUAAACGCAUCACCCCUUGUGCCCUGAGCGUCAUCACUCAUUGUCUCCAACAGACUGACAUCAGGAUGAAUUCAAAAGCAGAUGAAUCGUACUGAAGAACCCCUAUACUGAACAGAGAGUUUACCUAGACUGGGGGAAAGUACAUAGAUAGUACAGUAUAUUAUAGAUUAAUACCUUUGUUUAUCUUCUUUUAAUUUUACCACCCAAUGAGGGUGGUGAAACACUGGCACAGGUUGCCCAGAGAAGCGGCAGAUGCCCCAUACCUGGAGACAUUCAAGGCCAGGCUGGAUGAGGCUCUGAGCAACCUAAUCUUGUUGAAGAUGUCCCUGCUCAUUGCAGGGGGGUUGGACUAGAGGACCUUAGAGGGUCCCUUCCAACCCAAACUGUUGUGUGAUUCCAUGAAUUUCCCCAAAGCCAUUUAGUCAGUGCUACUUGAAAUACGCUAUUUUGUUCAGACACAGAAUUACAAGGACAGAUUCAAAUGAUUUUUAUUUUUUUUAACUUGAAUUUUAAACCUACAUUCUUUAUCAUCCAGGUUGACUUUCCUGUAUUGAGACUUGGUUCCCAGACAGACAUUACUCUCCACUUGGUAGCGAGGCAGCAAGUGGGUUCAGAGGAAGAGAAGCCCCUUAGAAAACCAUUUCCUUGAGUGCUCUGGACUUUACAGUUACCAGUAACCAGCAAGCCAGUGCUGAGUCUCUGGUGUGGAGUGCACGUGCUGUGCAGCACUGCUCAGGGAGGGGUAGUGCCUUCCUCAGGAACUGGAUCUUCAGGCAUGCUUCAAAGGGGACUCAUGAACAGAAAGGUACAGAAAGCCAGGUGGAGGUAACAAAGGCACCAGUGACUUCUGCAAAGUUUACUUCAGAGGAAAUGUGCAGCCAGCUUCGGUGGAAAAUACACAGCUUUCCCAUAUUGCUCGGCUCCAAAACAUCGCUGCUUUGAGAGCCUCUGUCCAAAUUCCCCCAAGUGGAGCACUGUCAGUCAGAGGAGACGGCCUAAGCGGCUGUCUUACAAUUCAAAUUGUGUUGCGAGGUGAAAAAAACAGCGACUCUACAUAGAAGGGGCGUUAUCAGCCACACACUCGUCUGCUCCCGUUCCUAGUCAGCUGGCUGGAAUGGAGGGACUUCAAUUGAUUUUGUUUUCUUUGCGGUGCUGGCUGGCGAGCCAGCGAGGAGGGAGCUGUGUUCUGCGGGCGUGCAGCGCAGGAGGGGCACGUCCUGCUGCCUGCACCACACUGCUGAGAGGCACCGGCAGCUCUGGCUUCUCAGCUCACGCUGUAUCACUGCGUUCUGUGUGCAGAGUGAACGGGGUCACAUGCAUCUACUCAUACAAAGGAUCUCUACAUAUCACAGCUAUAUUUAUUUUAUUUAUUUGUUAAAUAAAAUCAAAAUGAGUACA